rnacentral:rRNA from 1 species
UACGUAGGGGGCAAGCGUUGUCCGGAUUUAUUGGGCGUAAAGAGCGUGUAGGCGGCCAUACAGGUCCGUUGUGAAAACUCGAGGCUUAACCUCGAGACGUCGAUGGAAACCGUAUGGCUAGAGUCCGGAAGAGGAGAGUGGAAUUCCUGGUGUAGCGGUGAAAUGCGCAGAUAUCAGGAAGAACACCUAUGGCGAAGGCAGCUCUCUGGGACGGUACUGACGCUGAGACGCGAAAGCGUGGGGAGCGAACAGG